AUUGAACGCUGGCGGCAGGCAUAACACAUGCAAGUCGAACGAGUGGCGGACGGGUGAGUAAUGUCUGGGAAACUGCCUGAUGGAGGGGGAUAACUACUGGAAACUGUAGCUAAUACCGCAUACCAUCGGAUGUGCCCAAUUGGGAUUAGUUGGUUGGUGAGGUAACGGCUCACCUAGGCGACGAUCCCUAGCUGGUCUGAGAGGAUGACCAGCCACACUGGAACGGAGACACGGUCCAGACUCCUACGGGAGGCAGCAGUGGGGAAUAUUGCGCAAUGGGCGCAAGCCUGAUGCAGCCAUGCCGCGUGUAUGAAGAAGGCCUUCGGGUUGUAAAGUACUUUCAGCGGGGAGGCGUUAACCGCAGAAGAAGCACCGGCUAACUCCGUGCCAGCAGCCGCGGUAAUAC
rnacentral:rRNA from 1 species